rnacentral:rRNA from 1 species
GACGAGCGCUGGCGGCGUGCUUAACACAUGCAAGUCGAACGGAAAGGCCCUGCUUUUGUGGGGUGCUCGAGUGGCGAACGGGUGAGUAACACGUGAGUAACCUGCCCUUGACUUUGGGAUAACUUCAGGAAACUGGGGCUAAUACCGGAUAGGAGCUCCUGCUGCAUGGUGGGGGUUGGAAAGUUUCGGCGGUUGGGGAUGGACUCGCGGCUUAUCAGCUUGUUGGUGGGGUAGUGGCUUACCAAGGCUUUGACGGGUAGCCGGCCUGAGAGGGUGACCGGCCACAUUGGGACUGAGAUACGGCCCAGACUCCUACGGGAGGCAGCAGUGGGGAAUAUUGCACAAUGGGCGGAAGCCUGAUGCAGAAACGCCGCGUGCGGGAUGACGGCCUUCGGGUUGUAAACCGCUUUCGCCUGUGACGAAGCGUGAGUGACGGUAAUGGGUAAAGAAGCACCGGCUAACUACGUG